AGCAGCCGCGGUAAUUCCAGCUCCAAUAGCGUAUAUUAAAGUUGCUGCAGUUAAAAAGCUCGUAGUUGAAUUUCGGGACCAAUAUGUCGGUCGUGCCUCGGUACGUACUGGCAUCGUUGGUUUCUCCCUUCUGACGAACCAUGAUGUCAUUUAUUUGGUGUCGUGGGGAAUCAGGACUGUUACUUUGAAAAAUUAGAGUGUUUAAAGCAGGCUCACGCUUGAAUACAUUAGCAUGGAAUAAUGAAAUAGGACGUUUGAUUCUAUUUUGUUGGUUUCUAGGAUCGACGUAAUGAUUAAUAGGGAUAGUUGGGGGCAUUAGUAUUCAAUUGUCAGAGGUGAAAUU
rnacentral:rRNA from 1 species